CUUUCAGUCUCUUGCAAGCAGAUGAUCAAAAUUGUCUAACACAAUUUGAGCUUUCUAUAGCAACAAAGUCUAACCUAUUCUGGUGCUCUCUCUAUGAGACAAGUUAUACAGACUUAGGCAGA